rnacentral:rRNA from 1 species
GGGAACUGAAACAUCUAAGUACCCCGAGGAAAAGAAAUCAACCGAGAUUCCCCCAGUAGCGGCGAGCGAACGGGGAGUAGCCCUUAAGCAUGUGACUGGUUAGACAAACGGUCUGGAAAGGCCGGCCAUAGUGGGUGAUAGCCCCGUCGUCGAAAACCUGAACAUGUGAAAUCGAGUAGGUCGGGGCACGUGAAACCUUGACUGAACAUGGGGGGACCAUCCUCCAAGGCUAAAUACUCCUGGCUGACCGAUAGUGAACCAGUACCGUGAGGGAAAGGCGAAAAGAACCCCGGAGAGGGGAGUGAAAUAGAUCCUGAAACCGUGUGCGUACAAGCAGUGGGAGCCGACUUGUUCGGUGACCGCGUACCUUUUGUAUAAUGGGUCAGCGACUUAUAUUCAGUGGCGAGCUUAACCGUAUAGGGGAGGCGUAGAGAAAUCGAGUCUUAACUGGGCGACCAGUCGCUGGAUAUAGACCCGAAACCGGGCGAUCUAUCCAUGGCCAGGGUGAAGGUCAGGUAACACUGACUGGAGGCCCGAACCGGGAUCUGUUGAAAAAGAUUCGGAUGAGCUGUGGAUCGGAGUGAAAGGCUAAUCAAGCUCGGAGAUAGCUGGUUCUCCUCGAAAGCUAUUUAGGUAGCGCCUCACGUAUUACCGCCGGGGGUAGAGCACUGUUUCGGCUAGGGGCCCAUCCCGGGUUACCAACCCGAGGCAAACUCCGAAUACCGGUGAGUAGAGCGUGGGAGACACACGGCGGGUGCUAACGUCCGUCGUGAAAAGGGAAACAACCCAGACCGUCAGCUAAGGCCCCCAAAUUCUGGUUAAGUGGGAAACGAUGUGGGAAGGCAUAGACAGCUAGGAGGUUGGCUUAGAAGCAGCCAUCCUUUAAAGAAAGCGUAAUAGCUCACUAGUCGAGUCGGCCUGCGCGGAAGAUGUAACGGGGCUCAAACCAGAUGCCGAAGCUACGGGUUCAUCCUCAGGAUGAGCGGUAGAGGAGCGUCGUGUAAGCCUGCGAAGGUGUGUUGAGAAGCAUGCUGGAGGUAUCACGAGUGCGAAUGCUGACAUGAGUAACGACAAGGGGAGUGAAAACCUCCCCCGCCGGAAGACCAAGGGUUUCUGUUCUACGUCAAUCGGAGCAGAGUGAGUCGGCCCCUAAGGCGAGGCUGAAAAGCGUAGUCGAUGGGAAACGGGUCAAUAUUCCCGUACCGGAUGUGAUUGCGAUGGGGGGACGAAGAAGGCUAGGUGAGCCAGGCGUUGGUUGUCCUGGUGAAAGUCAGUAGGCUGAGAGCUUAGGCAAAUCCGGGCUCUCAAGGCCGAGAGACGAGACGAACGGACUACGGUCCGGAAGUCAUCGAUGCCACGCUUCCAGGAAAAGCCUCUAAGCUUCAGAUCACAUGCGACCGUACCCCAAACCGACACAGGUGGUCAGGGUGAGAAUCCCAAGGCGCUUGAGAGAACUCGGGUGAAGGAACUAGGCAAAAUGGCACCGUAACUUCGGGAGAAGGUGCGCCGGCGUAGCGUGAAGAGACUCGCUCUCCUAGCGUGAACCGGUCGAAGAUACCAGGUGGCUGCAACUGUUUAUUAAAAACACAGCACUCUGCUAACGCGUAAGCGGACGUAUAGGGUGUGACGCCUGCCCGGUGCCGGAAGGUUAAUUGAUGGUGUUAGCGCAAGCGAAGCUCCUGAUCGAAGCCCCGGUAAACGGCGGCCGUAACUAUAACGGUCCUAAGGUAGCGAAAUUCCUUGUCGGGUAAGUUCCG